CCGAGCUCAUGCCCUUCGGGGUAGACCUCCCACCCGUGCCGAUAUUACCUUUGUUGCUUUGGCAGGCCGCGGGCCCUGCCCGCCACCGGCUCCGCUGGUGCGAGCCUGCCAGAGGCCCCAACUCUGAAUUUAUGCUGUCUUAGACCUAUAUAAUCGUUA
rnacentral:misc_RNA from 1 species